rnacentral:rRNA from 1 species
AUUGAACGCUGGCGGCAGGCCUAACACCUGCAAGUCGAGCGAGCGGCGGACGGGUGAGUAAUGUCUGUGAAACUGCCUGAUGGAGUGGGAUAACUACUGGAAACGGUAGCUAAUACCGCAUCCCAUCAGAUGUGCCCAGAUGGGAUUAGCUAGUAGGUGGGGUAACGGCUCACCUCGUCGACGAUCCCUAGCGGGGCUGAGAGGAUGACCAGCAACACUGGAACUGAGACACGGUCCAGACUCCGACGGGAGGCAGCAGUGGGGAAUAGUGCACAAUGGGAGCAAGCCGGAGGCAGCCAUGCCGCGUGUAUGAAGAAGGCCUUCGGGUUGUAAAGUACUUUCAGCGGGGAGGCGUUACCCGCAGAAGAAGCACCGGCUAACUCCGGGCCAGCAGCCGCGGUAAUUC